GGAGUUGUGGCUCAGUGGUGGAGUGCUCGCCUCGCAUGUGUGAGGUGCUGGGUUCGAUCCUCAGCACCA
rnacentral:tRNA from 1 species